rnacentral:lncRNA from 1 species
GACCACUCAGAACCUCCCCAGGCUGCGCUGGCCCGGAGAGCAGCGUUUUGCAUUUGCCCCUUGGCCCUGGUCUCUCUGUCUUGCUGCCUUCAGGCUUUAACUCCUCAUAGCUCCCUGUAGAUCAACCUCAUUCCUGCCUCUGGGGCUUUGUGAUGUCAGGUGUCCUCCUGGGAAUGCUCCUCUCCCCACACCCCACCAUGUAAGACCCCUCCCAGGACAUUGCUGCUGGCCUUCCCGGCAGGUCCCAGCACUGCCCUGUGCUUCAUGUGGCUUGCUGGCUGCCCUGUGCCCAGGUGGCUUAGCACCUGGCCCCUGCAGGGCAGUGUUCUCUGUCCCACCUGGGUGGGGGCCAUGAAUGCCCCAUGCUCUGGGCUCAGCCGGAGGGCUCAGUGCAGACUGCUGACUCAUGAAGACAAGAAGGAAACAAGAUGAGAAAACCCAGAGAGGAGGUUACAGGAGGCACCCCUGCGAUCCUGGUACUCUACCGUGCAACUCACUCACCGCGCAGGGACUCGCUCCCCAGGGAAGCUCCCAGGACUGAGGCACAGAAGUCUGACACCUCCACGGGCUGCAGGAGGAGUCUCAGAAUGCUGGAGCUGAAACAUCUGCUCAAGAUAUGGAAUGAAGGCCCCCAGGGAAGUGACCGAACAGGCCGAGAGCAGGGGACAGCACCAGCCUGUGCCCCACGACUUCGAAGGCACGGUCUCCGGGAGCUGGACACAGGUGGUCCUGGAAGAGUUUGGGGGCGAAAAGCUGAAGGACCUGGCCUGUCUGGGGAGGCAUACACACCGCCUGUUGGCCCCACCCUGUCUCGAUUCCCUUUUAAGAGCAGUUCCAGCCCUUCUGGGGCCCUUGCCUCCCCAAAGACUGUCUUCCUACCUGGCCUUCUGUGUCCCUGCCAGACCCUGGCCUCCUGAACCCUGGGACAGAGCUGAGAGAUUUCUAGGGGCUGCAGCUGCGCCUCGCAGUGCGGUCGCCUUCCCCUUCCAGGAGGAAAGCAGCCACGCCCUCACUCCACCCACUUUCUCUGGGAGAGCCUGGGCUUGGUACCACGUGCUUACCAAGGAGGGAGCCAAGCAUGGCCAUGCUGGAGAUGACAAGGCCGAAGAUGCCGUGGGGGCCACACUGGACCAGAUGGACCCUGGCGCUCCCUUGGAAGGAUGGGUCUGGGCCCAGAGCGCUGGCUACUUCCUGAGAACACGCAUCACAGCAUCAUACGCCCGGGGAGAGGAGGAGGGGCAACGAGGCUCCCAGAGGUGGGGGCGCAGAGACCAGACUGAGCCCUUGGGCACAGCCCCUGGUGAGGGGGCUCAGAGACGUCCACUGUCAGCCUCCUUCCUCACUGAAACUUGCCCGGGUGGCCACCUGUGCCUGGGUCCCUCCCCAUCUUCAGAAAACACCCCUGACUUAACUCAGUCCCUGUACUGAGCCACUGUUUGCCCCUUGUUUCUAUCUGCCUGCAAAUGUCCUACUUAUGGAACAACUUAGAAACAUGUCCC